GCUGAAAAGGAGGGGGCGACCCAGCCGAGCCAGGGGUACUUCCCGUGAUGGCGGUCUCAAUUGUGAGGAGACACUUCCAGCCAUCCUGGGCUCCCGCCUUCCAUCAGUUACUCACAGGCCCAAGGGACACUGCCUGCCAGGUUGGGGGGUGGCAGCGUGGAGUACAACGGCCAGGGGCUUCCUGAGACCCUGAGAAGCUGACCACGUCAGUGGGUGAUGCACAUCCAUGGGUCAUGAGAAGGCCGCCUUCCGUGUUGCCUGCCAACCUCGGCUCCGUCAGUGCCCGCAGCACCGCGAAUCCGGAGGAGCCUGGAAUGCGAAGCCUGCCCCUUCUUCUCGGAGCUGGCCAGCUUCGAUGACCACGUGAGCCCAGUCCCCGAGUAGAUUUCUCUCUGCAGAGGUGCACCGAGAGAGCCUCGCUGGCUUUGCCACUCCAGAGAAUCCCGGGCACCUCUCGCUGGGCUCGGCCACUUUCCCAGUGUGACCCUGUGCCCGGGUCUGCUCUCCCCACGGCUUGCGUAUUUCCCUUUCGCUGUGAAUUGGGCCACAGCCUGCAGAGCAGCACAUCCUCACGCCCCCAACCCCCGGGCCCCUCUCUUUUCCGCUCACCCCCGCGCUCCCUCGCAGAGCCACUUCCUCGCUGUGUCCCGGGUCUCCAGGUCUCCUCUCCCCACCCUGAGCAGCCUGGCCCUGGGCAAACGCUGUCCUUUUCCCUCCUGUGGUCGACGGUCCUGAGGCCCCUUCCCCUGGAGAUGGUCAGUUGCUUGGCCAAAGCUUGAGUCACCAGGCCGAGCUCCACUCCAAACCUCAAGGCUGCCCGCGGGCCAAAGCCUCGGCGGUUCCACCAUUCCGGCUGACGCGGGCCUGGUCUCUCGCGUGAGACUGGGUGUUGGUCCACGUUUUUCUCCCACUCUACCCACGACUUCUAAUGUGACCCUUUCCAGACCACGUGGUCGUGGUAGCCAGGAACCAUCUAGUUCUUGUGGUCUCCGGGUGGUGGAAGUCGCUGUUUCUGUGGUCCAUGUGUGUUUUGAUUUGAAUCUUUCUUCCUUUCAAUUGGGGAGAGACCAGCAGCGGCCCCUUGCAUGGCCACUCACACGCUUCCCAGACCCCAGUCACUGCCGUGUCCUGUGACCUGGUUCUUCCCUUUCGUGGGACACCACUCAGAAGGGUUUGCACCCAGCUUCCUCCUGCCUGGCCUCCCUUAUCUGAGCUGACAGCACCUCCAUGAAAAAAUCUCACUUCCUCAAAUAAAGUCGCCUUCAGGGCUCGGG